CUGGCGCUGGGUAACUUCUCCGGUUCCCCACGCUCCUCGAGGGCGUGGGAGGGCUGGCAGGGGCCGCCCAGGGAGGCUCGCCCGGGGAACGUCGCCGCCGGCUGGGCGUGCACCCACUUGCCCCACGGCUUCCUGGCUGCCGAGUCUGGAGUCCCAGCUUGGAGCCCAUCUGUGUUUUGGCAAAGAGACGGGCCGCUCGGUUCAUAGUUUCCACUUGGAGACGUCAGCUCUCUGCUCCCUCCAGGCUGGGAGAACGGAAGUCAGCAGCGGGAGGGUGGGGUGGUGGCCGGGUGGCCCCCAACUUGCCCGGUUGGAGAGCAAUCCGUCAGCGAGGGAAACAUGGAGAUCCGGUGGGGACUGCCGGGUCUGGCGCUCCUGUGCUUUCUGAUGCACGCACGAGGCCAAGGAGACUUUGACCUGGCAGAUGCCCUGGAUGACCCUGAACCCACCAAGAAGCCAAACUCAGAUAUCUACCCAAAGCCGAACCCCGCCGACCCCCGC